UUAUACCUAUGCAAUACCUUCGCUCAGGUUAAAGAAUGGAAUACUAGUCUUGCAUCAAAUAUAUAUUACAUAUCCAUUCGAUGUUUAUCACCAGAAGUUAGUUCUACCUUUGCAGUACCUCUGCUUUACAUACCUCCUCGCUGGUUAAAGAAUGGAAUAUAAAUCUCAUAUCAAGUUGGUGUAAAAAUUUAGUUCAAUAAAUUAAGAAUUUAUAAACGUUCUCAAAAUUUUGAGUGGAGCAAUUGUUUUUCUGGUUUAGCAUGAGUAUGAAUCUGAUAUCAAUUGUAUGUACAAAGAUAGUUUACUUCUUAAAGAACCUAUCAGUAAACCAACUGAUUAUAAAACAGUUUUUAAUGGGAAUAAAAACAAAUUUUCAAAAGA
rnacentral:lncRNA from 1 species